CUGGGUAUGAGGGAGAUGGAUACACAUGUACAGAUAUCGAUGGAUGCGAUCCCAACCCAUGUGAUGCCAAUGCUGCCUGUGCAGACGUCCCAGCUCCUGGGACCGGUCAAGACUGUACGUGUAACACUGGGUAUUCGGGAGAUGGAUACACCUGUUCAGACACUGAUGGAUGCGAUCCCGAUCCGUGUGUCGCAAUCGCUACUUGUACCGACAAUGUGGCUCCCAUGACGGGUGCAGUCUGCACCUGUCCGCCAGGGUAUCACGGUGAUGGUAAAGUUCAUGGGACCGGAUGUACAGACAUCAGCGGUUGCGAUCCGAAUCCGUGUGUUUACCACGCUACCUGCGAAGAUGUUCCUGCUCCUGGGACCGGUGCAGUUUGUAUCUGUCCGUCUGGAUAUGAGGGCGAUGGAACAAUGGGUGGGACCGGGUGCACAGAUAUCGAUGGAUGCGAUCCCAACCCGUGCGAUGCCA